rnacentral:pre_miRNA from 1 species
UCUUAAGGAUGAGCAAAGAAAGUGGUUUCUUGAGAUGAAAUCUGUUCCUGGUGAAGAGACUGUGAA